AUCACUUUGGCGGAUAAACGCACAAAGUUUAGGACUUUGGAACGGGAUCACCAAGUGGUA
rnacentral:tRNA from 1 species